rnacentral:rRNA from 1 species
UACGUAGGGUGCGAGCGUUAAUCGGAAUUACUGGGCGUAAAGCGUGCGCAGGCGGUUUUGUAAGCCAGAUGUGAAAUCCCCGGGCUCAACCUGGGAAUGGCAUUUGGGACUGCAAGGCUGGAGUGCGGCAGAGGAGACUGGAAUUCCUGGUGUAGCAGUGAAAUGCGUAGAUAUUAGGAGGAAUACCGAUGGCGAAGGCAGGUCUCUGGGCUGACACUGACGCUCAUGCACGAAAGCGUGGGGAGCAAACAGG